AUUAACUUACAUCCAUAACGUUAUAAAUGUUCUUUUAUUCAUACUUUCAUUUGUAGGUACUAAAGUAAGAACUGCAGAGAUACAUGUUGACUGAUUCUUAAAGGAACUGAAAUAGAUGUUAGUUGUAAAAAGUAAAUCUAUGUUUUUAAUAUUUAGUAAACGAUGACGUCUGAAUAAAGUUAAUCUGAAGUAAUAUUAGUUUUACAGGAUAAAGUUGACUUUCUGAAGAAGACAUAUGUUUUUGUUCCCAUUCAUUUCAAUGUUGAGUAACACAUCUGAUUAUAAACAGAUUUGUAUCCUCAUCAUGUUUUCUUUAUUCAGACUGAGGAGCUGCAGUUUGUCAGAGAUCAGCUGUUCUGCUCUGGCCUCAGCUCUGAAGUCCAACAUCCAUCUGAGAGAUCUGAACCUGUGUAGCAACGGUCUGCAGGAUUCAGAUGGGAAGCUGCUGAGAGAUCUUUUGGAGAGUCCAGACUGCAGACUGGAGACUCUCAGGAUCAGAGUAGGAGAGCCGAUCAGAGCCACGAUCCAGAAGACCUGUGACAGGAAGUGAAGACACACAGAAAGUUUAUUCAUCACGGGGCGAGUUUGAGACGUGAAGAGGAGCGUGGAGGCAUUUUGGAAAAUAAAGAAGAAGGCUGCAGCUGAUGAGAGACUUCCUGUUAGCUCUCCUCAAUAUCAAAUGAACAAAAACAAUCAAUUGUACUUAAAGCUUAUCUUAAGAAGAAAGAUGUGUUGCACAUACACCUGCUGCUACCUACCACCACCUCCCACCCAUCCCGGCACCAAAGAGGAGACUCCAUCGACCCCAGAUACCCCAACUCACUCUUCUUCAGGUUAGCUUGGAGCCCCGCCUUUACCUGCCCCAACAUCUCACUUUGAACGAUGUAGUCAUCCGGAUAUCUGCAUACUGAGAGUGGGACGCAGGACCCGGUCCAUGAGCUGCUGGAAGGGGGUCCACUGGACUGGAGGGGCUCUUGGAUCUGGUGAUGCCUUGCUCUUCCUGAAAGGGGAGGACACCUAUCUGCCAUAGUUUCUCCACCUGACGACUGAGUUCGGCAUCGGGGGUUCAGUUGGGGUGAAGAGACUCUGGGGGGCAUCCGAUGGCUCCUGAAUAGGGGGGGUCCUUGCAGUGUCCAACCUAAUGAUAAUAAUAAGAAUAAGAAUAAUGCAUGUUAUUUGUAAAGCACCUUUCAUUGCUAAAAGUAAUCUCAAAGUGCUACAAGGGGCAUAAUAUACUUUAUUUUUUUUAAAGAAACACAAGUUUAAUAAAAGGCUUUAAAAAAAGAAAGGUUUUUAGGCCCUUCUUAAAGGAGUCAGUGGUCUGUGGAGUCCUCAGUUUGUCUGGGAGGGAAUUCCACAGGUGAACAGAAAGCCCCCCCAUGGUGCGGAGUUUGGUCCUGGGGGGGGAAGCAGAUGGUUGGUUGUAGAAUGGAGGUAGCGUGUGGAGGUUUGUGAGGAGAGUAGUUCCUUGAGGUAUGAAGGAGCGUUCCCGUGGAUGCUCUGAUGGGUGAGGAGUGAGAUCUUGUAUUUGAACCUAGCUGGAGGGCUAUUGGUGCCCCCUGUGGACCCAAAGAGACUCUUUUGGUUGGGGUAAUGAGGUGAAAGUUAUCUGCACCUAUUAGUAGGAGAGGCUGCACUUUGGAAAUGAGGGAAGGGGAAGGCCUUGUAGGCGGAGAUAGUGUUUCUUGAGAUCAUCCACAGGAUAACUCUAGUCCACAAGUGAAAGUCUGUCAGAGGUGAAUGUGUCUUUGAGGAGGAAUGUUUUUUCUUGGGAUUGAAAGAGGGUGAUAUCUCAAAGGUCACUGAGGCUCCAUUUCAGAAUAAUAUAUAUGAUAUGUUUUAUAAUGAUUGAUCAUUAAAGUGUUCUCAAAGCUGGUAAAGGU